GCUAUCAUUGGCGAGGUUCAUUUGAAAGAUCGCAAUGGCUAACGUCAAAGUAUUGAUUAUUGCCUUGUUCCUGCUGGCUGCCGUGGGCGUGGCCACUUCCUGCUAUUCCUGUCGCGGUGGCAGUCUCCAUGGAGGGUACUUGCGAUGCGGCUUAAGAAACCCGUGCCGCAACGUGCAUUGCAGACGCGGAUACAGUUGCGUGCACGGUUGCGCAUGCAGAGCUGUCUGCAGGAGGCGCAGGGGUUGCUAUUAUUACGGAUAAUCCGAUUCAAACCCUUGGCUACCUUCGAUGCAACCAAAAUGCAACGGAAUUUGCUUCACCCAAGUCAUUUGCAGGACUUUGAUGCUUUACCUCUUUUUCCUAUUGAAUGAUUAUACAAAACAGACUUAAGUGUUUACGUUAUUUCGGCCUACCGGUUGCACAAUGUAGCCUAAUAAAGCAACGCAUGAAAAUA